rnacentral:lncRNA from 1 species
GCAGUAGAUUUUCUCCUAUUCUGUCGGUUGCCUUUUCACUCUGAUGGUAGUUUCUUUUGCUGUGCAGAAGAAAGUGCUGGGAUUACAGGCAUGAGCCACUGCACCCAGCCUGCUUAUGACACAUUUCUAAAAGAAUCGCUGGGUCAAAUGCACAUGGCUCAAGGCUUUUGAUACAUAUUGCCAAACUGCACUCUAGAAAAGUGCUGCCAACAUACACUCUCAGCAAUAUAAGCAGCCCUGUUUCUCUGAAUCCUUGCCAGUAUUAUCAAGAAAUAACCACUUGUUAAAAUAGUGCCUGAAGACUAAAUUAAUGUUUAACAUGUUUUGUCACUCAUAAGUUGGGCUUACUAUUAAACUUUUAACUGUUAUAGUAUUACCAUUCAAAGCUUACACAUAUUUAAGAUGAAGAAACUGAGGUCUAGUAAAUUAUAAUUCAGACCCCUUUUAGUGUGAAUUUUAGCCCUGGAUAUACUGCAGUGCAGUCUUUUUUUUUUUAACUUGUACUAGCCUUACAGAUUUCCCAGAAAAAGGUAGACAUCUUCUUUAUUAAGUUGGAGGUCAGGAAUAUCCUAUUAGUUUAGUACUGUUUUUCCUGUUUCCUAGAUUGGAUUUUACAAAUUUUGUGUUAAGGAUAUCUGUUGACAUUUACUCAUUUAUUAUUUAAAAAGUCUAGCUAAUCUUGGAUAAGAAUUUUGUUGAUUCAUUCACUCACUAAUUUAACAGCAUUUAUCUAAUGCCUACCAUGUGUGAAGGAUAAAGUAGUGGAAAAAAACAGGUGUAGUUUAUAUUUUUGUAGGGUGAAGGGAGGUAGAAAAUAAACAGUGAAUAAACAAGAUAAUGAUAAAUUAUAAAUGCUAUUAAGAAAAUAGAGGGGCACGUGAUUGACAGAGAAUAAAUGGGAACGUGAGCUAUUUUAGAUACGGUGGCCAGGGAAGGCCUGUCAGAGAUAUUUGGGUUAACCUGAAGGAAGAGAAUGAGUCAGCCAUAUCCAAGACAGAAGACCACAUCCCAGGCAGAAAAAAAAUAAAUAAAUAAAAAAUAAAAAGCAAGUGCAAAGGCCCUGAGACAGAGUAUCAGGUAAGAUUAAAUUCAGUUGAGAACAAGAGACUCCAAAAUAGUGGCUUUAAUAAUAUAGACAUUUACGACUGCAGGGCUAGCAUGGUGCUCUGAUCCAUAAAGUUCUCACAGACCCUGGUUUCCACCAGUUUAGUUUUGCCAUCCCUAGAAUGAGAGAACUUGCAUGAGGCACAAAUUGGCAGCUACAGUUCUAAGCCAUCACAUCUAUAUUCCACGGUACAGGAUAAAGGAAAAGCCGCAUUGAAGGUGUGCACCAACUAUCUUUUAAGGAUGGUUUUACAAGUGUGCCACAUGAUAUACUGCUUACAUCCCAUCAGCCAGCACUAUUACAUGGCUACAAGGAAGGCUGCAAAAUAUAGUCUUUGUUCUGGGUAGCCAUGUAUCCAUGUCUAUUACUAUGAAAAAAAUGGAGGAAUUUUUGGGGACAACUAACAGACUCUGCUACAGACUAGAAAAAGCACAGCCCACGACAGAAAGGAGGCAGUAAGAAGGGUGAGAACAACUUCCUGUGCUGCUUCCUGGGAAGAUGGAGAAGUGGGCAGGAGCCAGAUUAUGCAGUCUUGAAGGCUAUGGUAAGGAAUUCCGAUUUCAUUCUGUGUGCAUAAGGAAGCUAUUGGAGGGUUUUAAACAAGGGAGUGACAUAACCUAAUAACAUUUUUUAAGUGAUUGCUUUGGUUGGUAUAUAGAGAAUGGUUUAAAUGGGAAAAUAUUCAUGAGGGUACAGAUAGAAAGUGAUAGCAACUAGUGUGGUUAUUGCUGUGGUCCAGCAACAGAUGAUGGUGGCUCCCAAGGGUUGUACCAGUGGAAGUGAUAAGUAGCUAAAUUCAGAAUGUAUUUGUCAGGAAGAACUGAUGGUACUGUCUGAUGAGUUGUAUGAGUGUGAAGAAUCAGAAAAUUCCAAGUUUUAUGCCUGAGCAAAUAAGUGAAUGGUGGUACUAUUUAUGAAAAUCAGGAAUUCUAAAGGAGCAGCAGAUUUAGGGAAUGAACAAAGGGGAUUCAAAUGUUGUUUCAGACACAUUAGAGAAGCCUGUCCUUUUUAUCCCUUGCCAUGGCAAAAUUUUCAAUACCAUCCAUAUUUUUCUAAAAAUGGGUGGCCUCCUUCUUCUACAAGUUAUACACAAACUCAUUCUUCCCUUAAUAGGGUAUUUUUUUUCCCUCAACGUCUGUAAUUUUUAAAUAAAGUGUACAGAGAAUUUAACAUAAUACAUAUUUUGGAAAUAUACAAAACAUGUGCCUAUUAGUAAGGACUACUUUUCAGGUAAAAGUAAGAAAAUCUAGUAAGAUAGUUAAAAGAAACCAAACUACCAAAUGGGCAAACUUAAUCAACAUUACCAAUAAAGAUGAACUUUUUG